CUGUGUUACAAGGCAACGCUACCUUCUUUUUUCCCCCUUUAAACUACUUUUGAAAGUCACUAUGAACACUUGGAUGGAAAUCACGUUUUUGUUUUGUUUUGUAAUGCAAGCUUGAAAAUGUUUAUGUACACACACCCCAAAAUUUUUAGUACAUGUUAAACAAUUUUACUAAUUUUUUAAAAUAAACAUUUUGAGUAAUAUGAAUUCAAGCAGAUCUAUUAAACUACUGCCUUUUAUUUUCAUGUUUAGAAACUUGUGUAUACAAGUUUAUAUACCAAAACAGCUAUUAUGAGAUUAUAUCACCUAAUAAAAUAUAAUUUGAAACUCUCUUCACUAGCAGUUAACUUUUUUCUACAUUAUUUUUCCUUUUCAGAAUAUCUUCACUAUAUAACAGCCGAUCCUAAUUUAAAUCUCUACUCUGCUACAACUAAAUGCUUCUUAAGGCUUUUUAUUAGCAACAUAACUCAAGUAAUUAUGGAUGCAGUAAUUUUUAAGGAGUGUUUUAUUUCAUAUAAACAAUAUCAAUUUUCUCCCAAAUUUUAUCUUAUUGGAAUGCAAACUCUGUGAAGACAAAGAUCCUUGCUUGUCUUAUGUACUAUUGUAGUCUCAGUACCCAGAAGAAUGUCUGGUAUGUAAUAGGUGCUCAACAACUAAAUACGAAAGAAUAAAUGAAUGAAUUAAUUUAACCAACCAAAAAUCCUCCAAGGUGGAUAUAUUAUAUUCUUAUCCCCUUUUCUAGAUAAGGAAACCAAAGUACAGAAGAGUGAAAAAAUUACUCAAGAUUUUACUAUUGUUAAGUGGAGAAACUUAACAGUCAGGUCUCUCUGACCUCAAAGCCCAUACCCAUUAAAUGCUUUGUGUGGCAAAAAAUCCAUUGUUCUCAUGGAUUUGGGUGGUUUUCCCACUCAAGAAAAAUAAAAUACCAUAUGACCCAGCAAUCCCACUCUUGGGCAUAUAUCCGGACAAAACUCUACUUAAAAAAGACACAUGCACCCACAUGUUCAUUGCAGCACUAUUCACAAUAUCCAGGACAUGGAAACAACCCAAAUGUCCAUCGACAGAUGACUGGAUUAGGAAGAUGUGGUAUAUAUACACAAUAAAAAAGAACAAAAUAAUGCCAUUUGCAGCAACAUGGAAGGAACUAGAGACUCAUACUGAGUGAAAUAAGUCAGAAAGAGAAAUACAAAUACCAUAUGAUAUCACUUAUAUCUAGAAUCUAAUAUAUGGCACAAAUGAAACUUUCCACAGAAAAGAAAAUCAUGGACUUGGAGAAUAGACUUGUGGCUGCCCGGGCGGAGAGGGAGGGAGUGGGGUGGAUUGAUAGCUUGGGGUUAAUAGAUGCAAACUCUUGCCUUUGGAAUGGAUUAGCAUUGAGAUCCUGCUGUGUAGCACUGGGAACUAUGUCUAGUCACUUAUGAUGGAGAAUGAUAAUGUGCAAAAACAAAAUGUGUUGUGUAUGUGUAACUGGGUCAUCAUGCAGUAGAAAAAACAAUUGGGGAAGUAACAAUUAAAAAGAAACCUUUAUAGUAAAGCAGAAUUUUAUAAAUCAAAUCUUUCUGCUUAUGAUAGUUAAUUACCGAUGUGGGGACACCUAAAUAGAGUUGAAACACUAGGGAAGAAAGAUUUCAAGAUGUUGGCUAAUUCAUCAUCAUAUUAGACGUUAUAACUUUCUCAAAGCGUUAUUCUUGCCCAGAGCUUAGUUGUAGUUCCUAAAUAAAUAAAUGAUUGUAUUGUGACAUAACACAGUAUAUAGUGCAUAAUAAGGAGUUUAUAAUAUGUGGUGAAGGAAAGAAAUCGUUCACCAGCCUCCUUGCUUACAGAUUACAUAAAUCCAUAGUAACAAUCAUUACUAAUGUUUAUUGAAUACUUAUUAUUUUCAGACACUAUUCAAAGAGCUUUAUAUUAAUUCACUCAUUUCAUCCUACAAUAAUCCAUGAGGUAGGAAGUAGGGAAACUAAAUCUGUCCAAGUUCAGCAGCUAAUAUAGUGCUGGAGUAUGAACCCUAUUUCACUGCUGUUGAAAAAAGAAAUGACGGGCCUCAAACUCAGUCACUUGUGCUAACCCCACAUCAGCAAACCAAGACUUAACAACUAACCUUACUGAAGUCAUAACUCCCCCAGAACUGUGGUCUUAACAAGACUGGAAUUUUUUGGUCAGCACCAAUGAGGUGAUCAGCCCCAUAGCCCUUCCCAUCCCUCAGAGGGAGAUGAAGUAAUCCACUCUCUCCAUUUCCUUUUCCCCUUCUUGACUGUAAAAGUCUCUAUUUUAAAUAGCUCCUUGGAGCUCUUCUCAGCUUGCUAGAUGGGAUGCUGCCCAAUUCAUGAAUUGUUCAGUAAAGCCAAUUAGAUCUUUCCAAUCUACUUGGUUGAAUUUUCAGUCAACCCUGCUAAACCUGUGUUCUAAUCCUCACAAGACUGCCUCCUGCCAGCUCUCCUACCAACUCCAUCCCCAAUUCCAGAGGUUUCUGAGUUUCCCUCAUUCAAAAGGAUGUAUUAGCUACCAAAAUUGCCCCGAAGGUGACCCAACCAGAAAUAAUACUGGGGAUACCAGAUUUGGAAUUGGAGGAGGGAGGGAGGGGGUGGGGACUACUUUUUUACUUAGGGCAGAAAGGAAAGAAGUAUUAACAGUUGUUGCUAAAAAAAAUAACCUGAAAUUCAUAGACUAGAAGAGAAGAGGUGGAAGGUGAGCAGAAACUUACCCUCCCUCAUUUAUGCCCCUUUGGCAGGAUUGGCUAAUUGGAUGGCUCUCUCUUUUUUUCCAGGUUGCCCUUGGCAUUCAUUCUAACUGUACUUCACCUGGAUUAAAAUACACAAAGAUGAUUAGCACAGUAUAGAUUUCUCAGGUUUAAAAAUGCUCCAAGAGAAAGCAUGCUAGUUAAUAAAUACUGCUUAACAGUUCAAACCGGAUAUUUGCAUUUAUUCCAAUUCUUACCUAAACACACAAGUGCUUCAGAUGGAAACUACUUUUUCACAUAAAUUGCCUUUCUCCUCUAACUUGCUGUCUGGAUUGGAGAUUAUUUAUGUGUAGGAGGGAGUGAGAGAGCCUACAGAGAAAAUACUGGCUCUGAUGCAAUGUCUGGCUUAAGGCAGAAGAAGAAAAGGUUUAACAAAGAUUGGUUGAGAAAUCUAUGCUUCAGGCAUUAUACUUAGCACAGAGAUUACAAAGAUGCUCCCAUGUUAGGAAAAUAAAGCUCUGAACCUAUCAGCACAAUCAGAGUGCUAAGCACAAUGAGGCCAUAUGCCGAGCGAAGGUCCCGGAGGGGAAUCUGAGGGGGGCAGGCAGGACAGACCUCCAGCUGCAGCCUGGGCAGUGUAGUGAGAACUGCUAACACAGUGUACCAGGUGCCCAGACAUCUUCUGUCACUCUCUGGGAGCUAAGGCAUAGGCUCUGACGUCUUGUGCAAGGGACAUGUUUUGCUAUAUCCUAGGUGAUUUAACCAGAACUGGGAGAAGAAGAAAAAAAAAGAGUUUUUGUAACUGAUCAUUCCAAUAUUCACUAUGUAGAUUACUAUAAAGUAGCGAAGCAGCAUAGUGAUUAAGUGCAUGGUGUCUAAAUUCAUGCUAUCUCAGUUUAAAUCCUGGCUUGGCAGCUUUGUGACUGAGAGCAAGUCACACCAGCUCUGAGCCCUAUUCCUAGUCUGCAAAAUGGGGCAGAUAGUUGUCUCUGCUUCUUAAGGGUGCUGUAAAGAUUAAAUGAAAAUAAUACAAGCCCUUCAUGUCUUACACACGAGACUUUCUAGUUUAUAUCACAAGGUUUGAGCAAAAUUUUUAGAUAAAUCAGUUAUUUUUAUGUAUCCUUUUCCUACAAAGGAAUUGUGAGUUUAUAGUGCCAUCUUAAGGAUAAAGCAACCAUGUAAUCUUGUCAUUUUAUCAUUUUUGUUUAUUACUAGCAAUGCAAGAUUCAUUUUUACCAGCCUUUGCGCAUUGCCUUCCCCUUUGCUCUUCAUACUCUAGCCAUUGUUAAUGGUUCUUCUUUGCUUCUUACCCUGUAGUCAUCUCCCUAGGAAAAUUUAUCAUGCUGAAUUCUUGUUUUUAGGUCCAUCUCCUCAAGAAUGGUCACUUAUUCAAUUUUGUACCCACUCUGCCUAGCAUACUCAACAAAUAUUGCUCAAAUAAACACAUUCUCAAUAAAAACAUUUAGCACCAAUAUGUAUGUGGAUUCCAAAAAUCACAAAGGAUAUAAAGAUUCUCUUUGAUCCAUCAAAGUUUCAUGGUCUGGAAAUGCACACACUAAAAAUUUAACUGAAGGAGUUCCCCUUGUGGCAUAGUGGUUAACGAAUCUGACUAGGAACCACGAGGUUUUGGGUUUGAUCCCUGGCCUUGGUCAGUGGGUUAAGGAUCCGGCAUUGCCAUGAGCUGUGGUGUAGGUCACAGACGUGGCUAGGAUCCUGCAUUGCUGUGGCUGUGGCGUAGGCCAGCGUCUACAGCUCUGAUUAGACCCCUAGCAUGGGAACUUCCAUAUGCCAAGGGAGUGGCCCUAGAAAAGGCAAAAAGACAAAAAUAAAUAAAUAAAUACAUAAAUACAUUAAAAAAACCUUAACUGAAAAAUGUCACUGGCUAGAUGGGGUACCUGGUAAAAACAAAUAUAAAGCUUCUCAGAAAGGCUUUGCACUCAACCCAGGCUGCACAAGUUUCCCAUGUAUAAAACUGUAUGGAAGGACCAACAAUCCAAAAUCACAAAACAUUUAGUGAAACAAUCCACUAGAAGACACGAAUUGGUUGUCAACAAACAGCAGAAUUAGAUACACAAAACUUCAUUACCUCUUUCCAGCUGUGUCAUUACUCUAACAUCUGCUUUCAUUGUCACAUUCCCUGACUCUGACCUUCUUGCCUCCCUCUUACAAGGACCUUUGUGAUUAUACUGAACCCACCUGGAUGAUGAGAAUCACCCCUUAAUUUAAUCACAGCUGAAAAUUCCCUUUAGCAAUGGAAGAUCACAUAUUCACAAAUUCCAGGGAUUAGGAUGAAAGCUUUUUGGGGAGCCAUUACUCUGUCUACCAUAAUUUUCUUUUGCUAUUAGGUCAGAUCUAAGGCCAAUUUGGGUUCUUCUAUUUCCACUCCUCUAUCUGCUCUGCUUUCUUAUCUGGCAGGCUAGGACAUCCAAUAUAGUGCUCAAAAGAAGUGGUAAUAGUGUCAUCUUUGACUUGUUCCAGAACUUGAGACUAUUUCUAAAUAUUUCAGUGUUGAAUGAAUAUGAGUUUGGUGAAGGUUUCUGGUGUUGCCUUUUAUUGGUUAAACGAAGUUUUCUUGUACCAGUAGUUUCCUAGAAAUUUUAACCAUGAAUGUGUGUUGAAAAUAAGUGAAUGUUUUUUUCUGCUUUAGUCUUCCUCCUGUAAUCUUUUGAUGUGCAGAAUCACAUUAAUUAAUUUGAUUUUCUAAUAUUUAAUCACCCCUGAAUUCCUAUAAUAAACUCAAUUAGGUAAUGACAUUUACUUUUUUUAAACAUCACUACAUAUUUGCAAGUAUGCUUAUGAGUAAGACUGACAGAAAAUUGAAGUUUCCUGGUGCUCAGAGGUUUAAGGAUCCAACAGUUUAAGGUGGCUUGGGUUGCUGCUCUGGCUGUGGGUCCAGUCCCUGGUCUAGGAACUUCCCCCUGCUGCAGGCAC
rnacentral:lncRNA from 1 species